AGUGAACGCUGGCGGUAGGCCUAACACAUGCAAGUCGAACGGCAGCACAGUAAGAGCUUGCUCUUACGGGUGGCGAGUGGCGGACGGGUGAGGAAUACAUCGGAAUCUACUUUUUCGUGGGGGAUAACGUAGGGAAACUUACGCUAAUACCGCAUACGACCUACGGGUGAAAGCAGGGGAUCUUCGGACCUUGCGCGAUUGAAUGAGCCGAUGUCGGAUUAGCUAGUUGGCGGGGUAAAGGCCCACCAAGGCGACGAUCCGUUGCUGGUCUGAGAGGAUGAUCAGCCACACUGGAACUGAGACACGGUCCAGACUCCUACGGGAGGCAGCAGUGGGGAAUAUUGGACAAUGGGCGCAAGCCUGAUCCAGCCAUACCGCGUGGGUGAAGAAGGCCUUCGGGUUGUAAAGCCCUUUUGUUGGGAAAGAAAAGCAGCAGGUUAAUACCCCGCUGUUCUGACGGUACCCAAAGAAUAAGCACCGGCUAACUUCGU
rnacentral:rRNA from 1 species